UUAAAUUGAAGAGUUUGAUCAUGGCUCAGAUUGAACGCUGGCGGCAGGCCUAACACAUGCAAGUCGAGCGGAAACGACUUAACUGAACCUUCGGGGAACGUUAAGGGCGUCGAGCGGCGGACGGGUGAGUAAUGCCUGGGAAUAUGCCUUAGUGUGGGGGAUAACUAUUGGAAACGAUAGCUAAUACCGCAUAAUGUCUUCGGACCAAAGAGGGGGACCUUCGGGCCUCUCGCGCUAAGAUUAGCCCAGGUGAGAUUAGCUAGUUGGUGAGGUAAUGGCUCACCAAGGCGACGAUCCCUAGCUGGUCUGAGAGGAUGAUCAGCCACACUGGAACUGAGACACGGUCCAGACUCCUACGGGAGGCAGCAGUGGGGAAUAUUGCACAAUGGGCGAAAGCCUGAUGCAGCCAUGCCGCGUGUAUGAAGAAGGCCUUCGGGUUGUAAAGUACUUUCAGUUGUGAGGAAGGGGGUGUAGUUAAUAGCUGCAUCUCUUGACGUUAGCAACAGAAGAAGCACCGGCUAACUCCGUGCCAGCAGCCGCGGUAAUACGGAGGGUGCGAGCGUUAAUCGGAAUUACUGGG
rnacentral:rRNA from 1 species